CCUGAGGACCUUCCCUCACGUGGAUGUACUCAGCUCCUGAAGGAUGGAGAGGUUCUCAAACGCACUGAAGUCUAUGCUCUGCCUUGUGUCGCUGAGGAUGCUUCUCACCUGGAAGGAAAUAGGUUGAAGGUUUCCAUAGAUACUUAUAAGACCGUCACUGCUGGACAACAUUCUUACCAUGUUUGCAAAGAAGUUGGCAUGCUGGGGCUUCUCGGCAUACUUCUCAUACUGGUCCAGACUGUCGUGCAGCUUGAGGGUCAGGCUGUCAUAGUUGUUCCGCACCACCUCAAGGACCUGCAGCGGGGGACGAGUGAUCUAUUAAUGCCACUUAAUCCCCGUUAACUCUGCCCGGACUAACCUGUUCUUCUGUGAGGGUGGAGAUGCUGUGCUCCUGACUCCACUUCUCCAGCUUAGGAGUGAAGUGAUUGAUGAUUGACCUGUGGAUGGACACCUCAGUGGGAAAGUAAUACAAUAUAGGCUGCAUCACUAUUUACCAUUAACCAAAAUAAUGUUCCUGAGUCCAGUCCAGUAGUGGAAUUGUAACCUGGACGUGUGUGACCAAUGAAGUAUAACUAAAUCAAGUGAAGUUAGAUAAUUGCCACAUUACUAUUUACAGUAUUUGUAAUAACCCCUUCAAUACUGAGAUACAUUUUUACCAUGAUAUCAAAACCCACAUACAUUUCUGAAGCCAUAUAAAAUCACCAAAUAGUAACCAGAAUGAAUUUAAAAAUGCAGCACAGUACUGAAGAGGUUAAUCAACUUUGCAGCAUUUGAUAGUGAGGGAAUAUUGCUUUAUCUGAGUAACUGAGCAAAAGUAAAACUAAAGGCAGCAAGAGAUUUAAAUUCUUCAAUCAAGUCAAAGGGUUAGACUCAGAUUAUAUGAGCCACUGAGACUUUAAUUAUUCACCAACACUAGAAUUAAAAAUCCUGUAUACUAUGAGUACUGUGAUGUAGAUAGAUAAUGAGUGAUGAUAGCUCACCUGAUGUUGCCCAGGGAGUUUGUCAGUUUCUGUGCACUCUCCUUGUAGUCACCAUCUGUUCUGGAGUACCUCAGGCUCAUUAAGUACAUGUUUUCAAAGACCUGCAAGAUUGUUUGGUGGAAAUAGAGAGUAUACUCCUCCUACCAUGCAUAGGGGUGAGUCAGGUCACCACCAUGGACAGCCAGACACUUAUUCAUCCUACACAGUCUUGCACACUUAGACCAAGGAAUGUGGCUAUAAGAUUAAUGUAUCUUUAAAAGAGAAGGUAAAUUGAUGACCACUUCUACCUACAGAUCAGCAAGGAAGUGAACAGCAGAAGGAACAAGAAUAUCUGAAGCCACAGUAAGGAGGACUUGUUCCAGUUCCAGCACAAACUAGACACGUGACACACCACCACAAUGCUAUCAGCCAAUAUUCACUUCAAUAAAGAACCAAUCAGCAACAAUCACAAACUUUGAGAACUACAAAAGAAGAGAAAAGAAGAAUU